CCACGGUCUAGUGUGAGGUGUCCCUGCCCAUGGCAGGGGGUUGGAACUGGAUGAUCUUAAGGUCUUUUUCAACCCAAGCCAUUCCAUGAUCCUACAUGGACUAGUAAUAAUUUCCAUUUCCUGUUUGAAUUUUGGAGGAGGAGGUUUAAGUAGGCUUUUUAAGCCAAGUUAGGACUGACAGAGGCUUCCUGUCUGCAGAAACUCAUCCCCAUUUGGGUGCAGUUGACCAUAAAUUAAGAUUACAAAUUGUAACACUUUCAGUCAUUCUGCAGAGAGUAGUUAAGUCCUAGGGAUCUUUAUAAGACCAGACCAUAAAAAUACAAAUUGGUGUAAUAAAUGUGAGUACUGGCAUUUAAUCAGUCUUGUAAAACAUGUGAUUUAAUGAUUAUACUGAGCAUAAUCUUUGAUUAGGAAUUAAUCUCUGCAGAGCUCCUAGGAUUAAAUUGCAGAGCUCCAGCCAUCUCCAGAAUGGUUUAAAGCUUUGCAGUUCAGCUGUGUUUCAUGCCUCUGAAGCCUACCCUAUUAAAACUACUUUGCAAGCAGGUGUAGGUGCCACUAUCUUCAGAUUAAUGUGGAAGGAUUACUCUUUCUUUGAUUACUCACCCGGAAAAAAAGCAAGUGGUCGUGUCUGUGAUGCUAAUACAGCUUUUUGUACAGCUUUUCUACUAAAUGUUAUUAAAAAAGGAAAUAACUUUAAAUGUGGGACAAAUCUGUUAAAAUUUAGUAUAAAGUUGGACAGAGCCUUGGGU